rnacentral:rRNA from 1 species
CGACCGCUGGCGGCAGGCCUAACACAUGCAAGUCGAACGAACCUUUCGGGGUUAGUGGCGGACGGGUGAGUACCACGUGGGAACGUGCCUUUAGGUUCGGAAUAACUCAGGGAAACUUGUGCUAAUACCGAAUGUGCCCUUCGGGGGAAAGAUUAAUCGCCUUUAGAGCGGCCCGCGUCUGAUUAGCUAGUUGGUUGAGGUAAUGGCUCACCAAGGCGACGAUCAGUAGCUGGUCUGAGAGGAUGAUCAGCCACAUUGGGACUGAGACACGGCCCAAACUCCUACGGGAGGCAGCAGUGGGGAAUCUUGCGCAAUGGGCGAAAGCCUGACGCAGCCAUGCCGCGUGAAUGAUGAAGGUCUUAGGAUUGUAAAAUUCUUUCACCGGGGACGAUAAUGACGGUACCCGGAGAAGAAGCCCCGGCUAACCUCGUG